AAACUGCGAUAAGUAGUGUGAAUUGCAUUUAGUGAAUCAUCGAAUCUUUGAACGCACCUUGCACUCACUGGUAUUCCGGUGAGUACGCCUGUUCGAGCGUCAUUUGUACCCUCAAGCUCUGCUUGGUGUUGGGUGUUUGUCCCCGUCUCCGCGCGUGGACUCGCCCCAAAGUGAUUGGCAGCCGGCGUACUGGUCCCGGAGCGCAGCACAUGUCGCGCAAACGAGUGCCUUGGUACGGCGGCGUCCAUAAGCCCCUCUCUCACGCUCUUGACCUCGGAUCAGGUAGGGAUACCCGCUGAACUUAAGC
rnacentral:misc_RNA from 1 species